GCCAGUGUGGUGUAUUGGAUUCAGUUUGUGUUGGACUAUAACUCUGGAGACCAGGGUUCAAAUCCCUGCUCGGCA